UAGUUACUGCCCGCUUUCCUUUUCUUCGAAUACAGGUGGGUGCGAAAAACGUUCCGCUUUUGGAAUGACAAGGGCAUCGUGCAUCUCACAUUCUGGCAGUACCUGAGAUAUUGCGUGGACAUCUACACCAAGGCUGGUCGACCACGCCUCACUGGACACUGCGGCAGCGCUUAAUUACAGUGUCGACCUGGACAGCGAGAAUGACAAAGACCAUCCUCUCAUAAAAUCUCUCAGUGCCAUCUUCAUUAACAAGGCCGGCUGGAAGGCUGUAAUGUUGUUUCUUAUGCCGAGAAUAUUCAAGGUUUUGAAGCCCAACUACCCGCCUAAAGCAAACGUUGACCUAUUCAAGGCGUUUGUAUCACACCUGAUUCAAGAGAGGGAGUCAAAGAACAAGAAAGAAGACGAUUUCCUGCAGUUGUUCAUGAAUGCUGACUACGAAUGGGAAAGUGCCGAAGACAGUAGAGAGAAAAGCGCC
rnacentral:lncRNA from 1 species